AGAGAGACAGAGAGGUAACUGUGUCUAGAGACUAGAAUGUACAAGCGUUACCAAAGGAAAUAAAGGCUGACAAGAAAAAAUCUAUUCCAUAAUUUCCAUUUUAAGCUACAUUGAAAUUCCCAAUAGUCUACCCCAUCCAAAACCAGUGAUAUAGUUUUUAUGGUUAACAUAUAUUUUUGGAUAUUUUGCCAUGACACCCCUUUUGCAAAUCUCUCUUAAUAUUUCAGCCGUCAAGUUUGAAUCUUUACUGAAGUAUGAGAUACGCAAGAAAAAACCCAGUAAUUGUUACUCUCUAUCAAGAGCAAAGCUUGGUUCUUUGCAUGACAACAGGUUCAAGUUGAAGGCUUAUGGGGAGAGGUGGUCUUUGUUGGGCGGGAGUAAGUGUGGGGAUGGUAUUUUGGUGAGAGAGGAUGGCUGGAAGAGGAAGAAAAGAGUGGUUGUGGUGAGGUUUAAUCAGGGGUUUGGGUUUAAUGGUGGUGGUGGUGGAGGUGGGAGAGAUGAUGGUGCCACUGCUAGACUUCUGGGUAAUCUUGCUUUGGCUAUUGGACUGACUUAUCUUUCAUUUACUGGCCAGCUUGGUUGGGUUCUGGAUGCAAUUGUUUCCGUUUGGCUCUUUGCAGUGCUUGUACCAAUCGUUGGCUUGGGUGCUUUUCUCUGGUGGGCUGGACGGGAUAUAGUUCAAGGCACUUGCCCAAACUGUGGAAAUGAUUUUCAAGUUUUCAAAUCCUCCCUAAAUGAUGAUUUACAGUUUUGCCCCUUCUGCACUCAACCUUUCUCUGUGGUGGACAAUAAGUUUGUAAGGGACUCUGUGCAGUUCUCCAACGAAUCUACAACAUUUGGGCAGGCUUUCAAUGAUUUUUCCCGUUCCAAGAAAGGAAAAGAUUCUUCUAAAGCAGUUGUUGAUGUUGAAGCAGAAAUAAAAGAUGCAGACUGAGGCCUCGUAGCCAUUAUAGCCUGGUAUGCAGUAAAGAUCCUUGUGAUGGUCUUUUCAAAUUAUUGAUUUAAUGUGAUGAUAAUAUAGGCUUUGUAGAAAUAUUCUUGGUUGCCUUGUUUGAAAAAAAAGGGUUCUAUUUUCAUCUUGGAAAAUUUUGUACUGUCACCUAUUUUGUCUUUAAGUCCACUUUGUUUUGAUUUGUGUCAGCAUGUCUAAUAGAAUUGAUAUUUUAAAAACUAAAAUAGGACUUAAACUAUAUUUUAGGAACAAAACAAAAAAAGAAAAAGUUGAGGUUCUAUUGUUGUCUUUGACAUAUCAUCCAAGUUUUUAUCUUUGUCCUUGAAACUUUAGGAGCGGACAGAACGACAAAAUGUUAACAUUUUUAAUUUUAAGGAUGAAUACAGAGCCUAGCUCUGGGAUAUAUUUCAGGAACGAAAAGAUUUAUUUAUUUCUUUUUUAA